rnacentral:lncRNA from 1 species
GGCUCUUAGUUUCCCUACAAUACGAGGACUUUUCUAUCUCUUCAUCUCUUAUAGCAUGUAAACACAUGAAUAAGACUAGUAGCGAAAAGAUCUCUACGCAGCCAAUUUAUUCUAAUUUGCAAGCAUUCUGUCCACUUCCACAAAUCUGAUGCACUACAUGGUUCAAGAUAAAAAACCUUUCUAUCAAGAUAAAGAUCCUUGCUAUCAAUAUCAAUACUCUAAGAUGCCAAUAUGUACUUACUUGUAACAACAUAGUAGUACUUGCACAUGAAAUUCAAAAC